ACUGUAAAAGUUACAGCUAGCCCCCCUUAAUAGUUUACAAGCAGCCAGUAAAAAAAAGCAGAAGCCUCACAAACACAAUACCCUAAACUUUUAAACUGUCUCCCCUUGUCAGUUUUAAGGCAGUUAAAGCUGGUUCUUAGCUGGUUUUUGCUAAGCAAAUUGCAAAAGUGCAGGGUUUGUUAACCAAUCAAAUGCUAGCACAACCAAAGCCAGUAUAUAAAUGUGUAUAAAAAAUUCUUAAUUUUUAUAUUAAAUAAAGUUUUUUGUACCAAAAUACAAGGCUCUCCCUUUUUCUGCAAAAAAAAGCAUUUUUCCUUAUCCUUGUCAAACCCAACUAGCAAAAUCCUUCAUCACCAACGUGAGUGAUCCCUUGUGUGCUGAAGGAUUUGUGUGGGCCCAUUACUCAGAUUACAACUUUUUUUUAAACCUCUCCUCUAAUCACCCCAGUCCUUUAGUUAUGUAAAUAACUCCCCAUGGGAGAGCUCCCAAUCCCUCAGGGACUAGUAGGUCUGCACAGUCCGUGGCUCGUGCCUCAGCCUUCUUAAGGUCAUUUCUCGGACAGCAGAGGGGAGGGGAAGGACCUGAGGUCGGGUCAGAAUGCAGGGAGGCUGGGUCCUAGAGGUGCGGCCUGGCCCCGGGAGGAGGAGAGUGGGCCGGGUCUGCCCUCUCUGUCCCCUCCCACUCAGGCGGAGUCGCUGCCUCCUUCCCUCGCUCAAUCCCGCAGCUUCGCUCGGCAGCCGGGUGAGCUGUGCCCAGUCGCUCUGUGCAGUCCCGCAGCGCAGCCACCAUGUACGUCUGCAGGGCUGCCUGGCAGGCGCUAGCCGCUCGCUUGGCCAGCGUGUCCUCCACUGCCACCCUGCUCAGAAAGCGCGCACCUCUUCGCCAGAUGUCAUCUGGCAGCGUCCCUGGCUCUUCUGGGGAGAACCUGAUUUACUAUCUGUUUGCUGGUGUGGCGUGCACUGCUGGUGGAUAUUAUGCCUACAGAACAGUCACGUCAGACAAAAAGAGGUACAACGAACGUAUUCACGCUAUUCGGCAGAGUAAUACAGCUGAGUGGAAACCAAAACCCUGGCCACCCCAGUGUGAUGAACUGGAGACAGCUGAAGACACUGAAGCAAGUGAGCAGGCCACAGAGGCACCUACAGAAGAGACUGAAGCACUAACUGCUGAUGAAUCUACAGAACAGAAUGAGAGGUCUAUGGUGUCCACAGAAGCUGAAGGGGAAAAAGAAUCGCCAGUUGCGGAUGCAUCCUCUGCUGUGGAGGAAGCACAGCAGGAAGCCACUGCUAGCUUGGAGGCUGCCCAAGUGCAAGAAGUUGUAGGUGAAGACUUGGAUGUUGCUGCAGCUUCUGCUCAUGAGGACAACAUAGACAGUAUUCAAGAAGGAACAGCCUCAGCAGCUCAAGAGAUGCCUGACACAUCCUCCAGGAACCAGGAGGCUGUUGAGGAUGAGUCUGGGCAGGAUUCAGAAGCUUCUUCGGCAACAACGGGAUCUCAAAAAAUUCCUAAGGAUUCUUAAAGUGAGCAACAGUGACACCAUUGAAGAGUUUCACAGAAAUAUGUAUGACAAUCAACCAGCUGACUGAUGUUCUGAAAUCUACUGCUCUUCUUUGGAAAUAUAAAACAAAUCUUGCAGCAAGCGCUGACUGUACUUCUCAAAACGUGGGUGUUGGAGAAUGCCCAGUUGCUUUCUGAAGCUGCCCUUUCACAAGAGUGAGAAGUCUGUCAGCCUUCAGGAAGAAAGAUCCUUAGAAGCAGAGCUCAAUCCAGGACUUGUUUAGGGUUUCCAGAGGCUUUUAACCGAAUUAAAGAAUCUAAUCACUCCAGUGCAAAUUGUACAGCUGCUUCUUGUCAUAGCUCUUUUUUUGAAAAUAUGUCCAUAGUGCUUCUGCAACCUACGCUACAAGAAAUCUAGCGUUGUACUGUAAACUCUUGCUGAGACUACAUGUUAGCACAAUAUACAGUACUGCUUACUGGCUAGCUAUGGAUUUGACGUGUGAUGGUAUUUCGUAGUAUGUACAGUGGUGCUCUAUGUAGAAUAGCAAACUACUGUACAACAUGCAAAGUACUUAAAAGACGUUUCAGAAUGUAAAGAUAAAAUGUAUCCUCGUCUAUGAUCACACCACUCUUGAUAACAAUAAGAAUAAUACUUAGUGCUUAUAAUCUGAAGGUGGCAAAAUGCUUUACAAAGGAUGGUAAAUAUAAUUAUCCCUGUUCUGUAGAUGAGGAAAACAGAGGUUGAGGUGGCUGAAGUAACUUGUCAAAGUCACACAACAGCUUGAUGGUAGAGCAGGGAGUAGAACACAGGCUUACUGAUUCCUGUCCAGGUUCCUGUUGGUUUUGGAUCAUGUUGCCUCCAGAUAAGAUCCAUACCUAUCCUGAGUACGUGGAGGGUGCUCAUUAUUGUAGUAUUUAGGCAGUUAAGGGUUUCUCUUAGCUUAGCAUAUAGGUAGUUCUGGUUGCAUGAGAUUAGUUUUGGUGAUAAGUAUUACAGAACACAUUCAGAGAAGAAGGAAGGGCUUUCCCCCCUCCAACAGAAGGCAGUGCUUUCAUUAAAAUGGUAAUACCUGAGACUGAACAAAUCUGAGCAGUGCAGAAGAAUUCUAUUAUGUCUGUACAGAGCAAGAGCAGUUCACAAAAUCCUGUGAUGCUCCCACAGCUGACUUUGGGAGUUUAGGAUGACUAGUCUGACAAAUUGUUGCCCCCCCCCCCUAAAAACAUAACUGAGCCAUUUUAAUGAAAAUGCUUCCUCUGCUGUCAGAGCAGUGGGGCCCAUACGCUUGUGCUGGGGGCCUUGGCUAGCUGUCAGCAUCUAAUAUUUUUAUCAAGGGACAAAUCUUCAGAUAAGACAAGGGUCUGAUGGCUACUAGGCCCUCACUAAGCAUAGAGUUGUGAGUAUUCUGGUGUAUUUAUGUCCUGUAACCCCCUACCCCCCACCGCUCUCCAAUCUUCUACCUGUUUAUAGAAUCUAAAGUGGCUAACAUUGUUAAUAUAUUAAUACACAAAACUUCACUGGGAAGCAGGGUUGCUAUACACACAAAAGGCCGGAAAUUAAAAGAUAAGCCACUUAACAGUACAUACCCUCUACUCCUCCACUCACAAGUACUCACUUUAUCAUUACGACAACUCUCGUACACCACAAACCAUGCACAGCAGCUGUAACUCUGUGCAAUUUUCACAUUUCUGCACACUUUCCUACCAGAGUAUUUUCCCGCAACACAAGUAGUUGUGGAUGUGUGAUGUAGUGGGUGAUUACAUUAGGAGAAGGUAGUUUGGUAAAGAAUUGUGUGCAGAUGGGCAGCUGAAGGGGGUAAUGGAAGGCUAGCAUCUCUAGGGGGCAGAGUACUGGUUGCUAUCAGGUGGCUUAACUUUCAUGACUUUCAUCUAGUGGGAUUGAAUCAGUUGUGCUGUGUACUGCUGUGCUGCCAUGGUUAUAUAAGGAUAUAGGAGUGAGUCCAGAGCCCUAAGAUUUUAGAACACAGACAUCUGGAAGGCAGAGGGCAGACAGCCUGGCAAGCUGAAGCCUACAGCUGGCUCACAUGGCGGUUAGGGAACAUUUAAAUAUAACUAACUUAACUAGUAAGCUCUUUAUGCCUUAAUAAGAACAACACAUCAGAUACUUGACAAUCAGUAUGCUGAGUAUUAAUUUCCAAGGUUUUUUCUGUGCUUAAUGGGGUGGGCAGUGGAUGAGUGAAGAGGAGUGGGCCUGGGGGGGCUACAAGUGAAGUGGGAAAAUAUUUUAUCUGUCAGCAGCUCUGCCUGAACCCUCCCAUAUCAGCAGUUGUGCACACAAACCCUUUUCUGCUGCAGGACAAAAAUCUAACAGAAAAGUCAGCUCCUCCUGGAGAUAGUUUUAAGUGUGUCUGGACUCUUGACCCCAUCAGUCCAGGUUGCAUGUGCCUGCUCCCCCUCACUCAAGCAGGCUUCUAGGUCUCCCCUCACAUCAACCAAUAAGGUUUGGGUGUGCUUGCCCCCACUGCUGCCCUGCCAUCAGUCAGGCUAGCAUGUGCUCGCCCCUAAAAUCCCCUCUAAUUAAUCAGACUUUUGUAUGCCCCCACACCAAUCGAUCAAUCAAUCAAUCAUGUUUUGUAUGCGUUCACUCCUUCCAAAAUAACCAGUCAGCUUUCUGUGUUCCUGCCCUACCCCAUUAACCAAGCAGGGUUGCGUGAGCUCCCCUUGCCCCCCUCUCCUCCUCAGAAAAAUCAGGCUUCCAUGCCCCACCAUCAAUCAAUCUUGUGCACAUCCUACCCUCACUGCCACAAUCAAUUGUGUUAGCAUGUACUUGCACUCCAUUAAUCAUGCUUGCAUGCACAGUAUAUAUAAACUUUCAGUUACAAUGUUAGUAGCAGCUAAAAAUGACCCUAAAUCCAACAUUCAUUUAAAAAUUUUUCUCUGUUGCCCCGUUCUAUAAAGGAUCCAUCUCUACCAAAUUUUUGUGUGGAUAAACUAUGUAAGUAGAACUGCCAAGGAGAUCUUGAGCCAGAGCCCAAAUUUCAAACCCUUACCAUAAAAAAAAACAAGAAAAAAUAAAAACUACACAGAAAAUUCAAAGAGAAAAAACACUAACCCAGUCUGAAAUUUCACAUAAACUGGCCAUACACUUUUGGAGAAAAACAGGAAUUUAUGCCCUAUUUUAGAACAUCACCCUAACUAUGGAGUCUCCAUAACCAUGCAUUUCCACAAUUCUAACAAAUAUAUGAGAUAUUCUGUAUAUGUCUGUGCAUUUGGCUGUGUCAAGAAAGGAUGAAGUAGGCCUUGAAAAAUGAUGGAUUAUGAGAAUUUAGAGUGUCUAUAAAAUUUCCUUACUUUACAUGUGCAAAUUACCACGGUGAUGUGCUGUUAGCUGAAUCAUUAAUAUCUGGUGUCCAUACUGGCUGAGCUGCUGUGUAAGAGAUGACUUCCACUGGUAUGUCUUGAUACGUCAGUUACUAAAACCCCACAAACAUCAUUAACAAUGAGAUUUUGGAGAAACCUCAAAUAAAGUAAAAGUUAAUGUCAGAAUCAUUUAAUGGUUGUCUUUGACCUCUCUAUCAAAACAGUAUUAUUAAUAUCACAGUAAUGCAUCGAGGUUUCCCCCACUUAUUUUUAAAAACACUUAUAGGUGGAGUACUGCCUAU